rnacentral:rRNA from 1 species
GAGAACUCUGAUGCUUGAUGCCGCGUGAGUGAAGAAGGCCUUUGGGUUGUAAAGCUCUUUUGUAGGGGAAGAUAAUGACUGUACCCUAAGAAUAAGGUCCGGCUAACUUCGUGCCAGCAGCCGCGGUAAUACGAAGGGACCUAGCGUAGUUCGGAAUUACUGGGCGUAAAGCGCGCGUAGGCCGUUGAGUUAGUUAAUUGUGAAAUCCCAAAGCUUAACUUUGGAACUGCAAUUAAAACUGCUCGACUAGAGUUUGAUAGAGGAGAGCGGAAUACAUAGUGUAGAGGUGAAAUUCGUAGAUAUUAUGUAGAACACCAGUUGCGAAGGCGGCUUUCUGGGUCAACACUGACGCUGAGGCGCGAAAGUAUGGGUAGCAAAGAGGAUUAGAUACCCUCGUAGUCCAUACCAUAAACGAUGAUUGCUAGAUGUUGGAAAUUUAUUUUCAGUAUCGCAGCUAAACGCAUUAAGCAAUCCGCCUGCGGAGUACGAACGCAAGGUUAAAACUCAAAUGAAUUGACGGGGACCCGCACAAGCGGUGGAGCAUGUGGUUC